UUAUCAGUGAUUGAUCACAACCAUCAGCCUCGUGUCCUGUCUCACAUCCUCCCGCCCGGAACAUCAAGAGCGCAGGGCCUGAUAAACGUCGCUGAUAAACUUUGAAUGCGGUGUGAUUACUGGGUGGUUGGGGGGGGGGUGUUGUCUUGGAGCCGUGCCAGGAUGCCUUAUCAUUAGUCACUAUGCAUUUUGCCCACUGAAAUCAUUUAGGAAGCCGCAGAGCAGCCGGUGACGGAGCUCGCGUAACGGCGUCGCCGCUUUUUACCUGGGGGAAAUAAUACAGCCGUGAACAGACAUUAAGCCACAUCACUAAAUUGAGGUAUUUGUUUGUCAUGCGUGUGUGUGAAUACCGGCCCUAAUGGGACACUUUAACCUGUCCAUCACGCAACAUAACGGGGAAAGCAAAGGGCUUUAAUUAACGGAGCGGAUCCUUAUCGUCAUGGGAACAGAUGUGAUAGGUUGCUCGUGACGCGUUUUGCCACCUUGACAGGUUUUAGAAUUACAUGGUGCGAAACAGCACGCACACACACACGUGCACACACACUUGCCGACACGCUGUGCUCCCAUCAAUUCGGAGCAGACAUUUUGCCUUGUCUUGACAGAGCUUGAGAGCCUUACAUGUGUGUCCAAGCAGAUCAAUAGGUGCUCACUAUAAAAGAAGGACCCGGGCGUAAAUUAACACACCGGGGAGUUGCCAGAACAAGACACAGGCACAAGAAUCAUCAGGGGUGUUAUUUCGACAAACACACCUCAGCUGCCUGAGUAGACAACAAGUGGUCGGGGGUGCAAUUUGCUGCACUACCUUCCUGUUUAAGAGAGUAGCUUUCUUUAAUGUGAUAAGCAAAACGCUGCGUUCUCUUUUUUUAACACUGGGUCCACUAUCACAAGUCAGUAAAGUCGCCGUAGGCUGUAAAAGAGCAAAUAAAAGCCUUCAAAAAAAACAUGUCACCAUGCCUGGCAGGUUUACUUCACGUGCAUCUAUUAUACAUGAAAACAUUGUUAAUAUAGGUUGUAAAAACACUUUACACGUGCUAUAUUUUCAAGAGCGCCGUGCCGCCGAUCCUCGCCGCCGGCUAAAUGUGAUUACGGUGAUCUAACGUGUCAUCAUCCCUGUUUUACUUCCACUUGUUACAAACUGCUUUAGAUAAAAUGUUUUAAAUAUAUUCUUUGCCUGCUCACGAAAAAGGCUCCGACUGCACGGCUCUGAUGGGAGCACGAGGGGAAGUCAAUGCGGUGAUGGAGACGCAUCACAACAGCUUACGUAUUUCAAUGCACCGACGUCACCAAUAUACAGUAUACUGUAGAACCAGUGGGACCGCGUGCAACAAGCUCUCACCUCUUUGCAAUUAAUGCAAAUGAAAACAGUCUCAAGCAGCACAGAUUUCGCAGAGAAUGCAACAGCCUGACAUCUUUGUUGACGUUCAAAAAACGCUUCACAUUACAAGGCCAGGUUUCCAUCCAAGUGUGCUGUAGCAAAACUGCUGAUGAAACUUUGGGAAAAAAAAAGUGCCGCCGUUUCCACUGUCCACUUUGGUUUUUACAAUUACUUAUACGCUUUUCCAGUCAGGUGCUAUAGAAAAACCGUAAGAAUGAACACAGGGCUUGGCCUCCAUGGCUGUGUCCAGAUUUAAUAUGUAACGUCCUCUGGGUCGAAUUUAAUAACAAAGAAAACAGAGUUUGUCUUUUUCGUAUGCUAAUGCCUACAGUGGCUUUUGUACUGUUAAUAACACUGACGAUGGUUAACAUCUCAUUGCCUUCUUCCGUAAGAAUAAUCAUUCAAGUAGCACUUUGAAGCAAUGUUUUCUAUGAAUGGGCCGCCAUUACAUCUCAUGUACAUAUCAAUAUAUCCGCCAUUGUGGUGAAGUGCAUAAUGUCAGCUAUUAUUGCUAACCCACAACCACUGUUUAUCUUAAAUGAUAUGCAGCUUCUUUUUCUUCUUCCUCUUCAGGCGUAUUAGUGAAUUGUAUUAGUGGCAGCCGUUUACUCAAAGCAUUCAGACAUUGCUGCAUUUUUUUCUCUUUUCGCCGCCCUCCACUUACUUUCUGCUCACGGUGUGCUCCGUAGCAGGGAUUAAAAUGUUAACGAAGUAAUGAACACGACGCGGUAAACGCACUGUUCGCUGAAUCUAAACCCCUCCAGCCUCCAGGCAAAAUCACGACGCUCCACUCCCGCUGCACGCCGUUUACAUACCAUGAACGCAGCAUGGGUGUUCACCACGUACAGUCCACAUGUUCACAAAGACAAUUAGGUUGAUUUUUAUUUUAAAAAAAAACCCAACAAAACAUGAACUUUCUAAAUCUUCCACCAUCACUCCCAGGGUAAAUGAUUAAUUAAGUGCAGCCUUCUCUUGCAGGGCGUCGGCUCUGACACACACAGAUACACACACGCAACCAAUAGACCCUUUAGCAAACACGACUGCUUAGAUGCGUUUACAGUACAGACAGUCCCUGUUAGACUCACACACACAGGCAAAUAUAUGCACACAGACAAUAGCCUGCAACUCCCCUCCAGCCUAGCAGGUAAUUGCUGUCUAUGGGGGGACAGGUGCUUCUACAAUAGAGCGCCAGUGUCCAGGCAGGCUCUAUUCAGCCCCACUGUAAUUACCUAAUUGAAAAGCUCGCAGGGGAGAGAGAGAGAGAGAGAGAGUGUGUGUGUGUGUGUGUGUGUGUUCUGAGUGACAGAGAAUGUGGAGAGCGGGGAAAAAAUGAGAGGAGAAAGGAAAAGAUAAGCUCUGGGGUUUUUGGAAUACAAAAAAGCUAUAUACUUCACACCACACACAACUAUACGCAUACUCACAUAUUCAUACACGCACACAUAUAUGGGUCCAUGGUGCCAUUUUUGCACCCAUGAGCAAAUAUUCGCGUGUAUAAGACCACACGCGAGCACUCACUGAGGUAUUUUGCGAAUCAGAUCGCUCCCGGGGGUAAACAUUGUCGAGCCGUGAUUGAGGCAUGGAGUGAAGAGGAGAGCGGUAAUGGGAAAUCUAUUGUUGCACGAUGAGGAUGCGGGGAGGGAAGAGAGGAGGAGGGUCAGGGUACGCUGGGAUAUGAAAGCGCCAUGGUCACUCUCAUUUCUGCUGUCAGCCCCUCUACCUCCGCCUCGGCUUUAAGUUUCAUACGGGAUUCAUUGGCAGAGUGAGAGCAGGAGGGGUCUGUGUGUGCAUGCAGUGCCUGUGUUCCUAUGUAUUGUGUAAUGUUUAAAAUGUAUUAGGAAUAUUAUUUAUUUAAAAAGUUGCUGCAGCGUGUAGUCUUCGAAACUUUUUACACCAUGUACAUCCUCUGAAAAAAAUAGCAUCAAGUAGCAUAGACCUACAUGUGCUGAUGUGUCGCAGGUGCUAACUGUUUGGACUGUUUUUGAGCCUUUCAUAUGCUUCCACUUACUAUCCUACGUUGAUGUAUGUGCUCUCAAUGUGCAACAACGUGACUACGUAGCAGAACUUACAACUAAGGAUUCUAAUGAAAAUUCUGUAGUAUUUUGAUAUUAACUGGAUGUUUUUAAAUUAGCUUAUUUAAUUAAAAAAUGUAAUUUGUGACCUGUAACUUUAAAGAAACACACUUAAGGCAAUAGUUGGUAAGUUUGCCUUUUUGCUUUGUUGAGGAGAGUAAGACAAUUAGAUUGACACCAUACUCAUGUGUGCACAGUUAAUAUGUAGCUUUAGCCAGCAGCUAGUUAGCUUAGCUGGCACAACAUCUGAAAACAGGAGGAAGCUGGCUCUGUCCAAAAGUAACAAUAUGCUCCUAACAGCAUCUCUAAAGCUGAAGUGUAAAAGAUGUGUUCUGUUGUUAUGCUGAGUGGCAUUGUAGCCUUUUUUAUAACAAAAAGAUAUCAGAGAGGUAUCAAACUAUUUACAUAAGAGCAAAGAAAGCUGCAGUUAGCUACUAUGGUGAAAUGCUGCCCCUGUUUAUAAGAGGUAUGAGUUCAACAGGUGGCACAUUUUUACAUAUGGCACCUUUAAUAGUAAGUAAAAGUAAAAAUUACAAAAAGCUACAAAAAGUUAGCCAGCUGCUGGUGGUAGCUUCAUAUUAACUAUUGAGAAAAGAGUAUCAGUCUUUCCAUCAUCAGUCAAUCAUGUAGCUCUUAUAAUUAGCAGAUCUAGGUGCUCAAACCAGUUGAAAACGUCCCUAUUUUGUUGCAAGCAAUAACUCGACAACGCCACACGCUUGACAAGACAAUCCCGUCUUGUUAUUGUCCUUGGAUGCAUCUGUUUUUACUGUAGCAGCCCUGUUUUGGCUCUUAUGUGUGCCUGCGGUCUAGUACAAAGCGAAGAAGCUCAUAUCCCCAAGGCUAGCAUUUGUUUGCACAGACUCACACUUGAAAUGUUCGGAGGUGAGAACUCCUGCAACACAAUCCAUCUUUGAAACCUUUCUGUUGCCAUUUCUUGAGCAGUGCAAAAAAAAAAUAUGAGCGCGUUUGAUGAGCGUAUUGGGUAUUUUUGUAUUCGCAGUGUGGUUUUGAGUGCCCUUAGAUGGGUGCAGGAAAGAAGAAAUCGGGCAUGAGAAACUGGGUCAGACACUGCAAGUGGAUUUCAAAGGCAGAUUUCUUGGAGAAAUCAUGUGAAAAGGUAAGAAUUUUGGGGAGUGCAAAAAGUGGGGAAGGACGGAGGAUGGCACGGCAAAAUGAAAUUACUAAAGGGAGGUACGAAAGAAAAGGAAGGAAUGUGCAGACAAAGCAAUUAUGGACACAAACAAGGACGAGGUCUACAUUUGGCCGGAAGCCUGAUAAAACGGUGGGAGAUUCCAGAGAACCGGCUCCUCCGUGCGAGCGGCGAGAUUUCGCGGUGAGCUGGACAGACAUCCUUUGGCUUGGCUCCGUGGCAUUUGGCGCGUCAAGCCCGGCAAACACAGAGAGAGAGAAAGAGAGUGAGAGAGAGAAAAAUAAGCUGUUAAGUAAAUAAACCAAUCUGCUGAAAUACCCGUCACUCCCCCUCUCUUUCUCUUCCUGUGACGUGCCCAGUGAAUCGCUGAAGCACAUUUCGGUGUCAGCAUGAGCAAAGAUGUCAUAUUCCAUCUCGCCGGGCAUCAAACGUACCCCGGAGUCGCAGACAUGUAAAUAAGACGUGCGGUUACAUGACGUUUGGUUUUGUGGGGAACGUUCGGGCCUGUGUGCCUCCCUUUCGUUCUCUCAUCUCCUACAGCUGUGAUGUGUAGACCCUAUUACAACAUGUAAAUGACCCCCUGCUGUGCAAUCUAGGAGUGAGGUAUGACAUCCAUGCUCAAAUGCGCGAAGCAGAAGUCGUAUAGUCUAUGAGUGACUGUGUGCGCGCCCUAGUCUGUGCGUGUGAUGCGUCUCAGCCUAAUGCCUCCUGCUCAAACAUGUGUGCAUUAUGCAUCCAUAUUCUGUAUGUGUGUUAGAUUCAAGCUGUCAGAAUCGGACAGAUGCUGUCUUGUCUCGUUGGCAAGUCACAUGAAUAAGAGAGAAUUCUGCUUUAGAUCAAAGCGGAGAUUCACUAUAAAUGGCACGUAUCUACCAGCAAGGCUGACACUCUCACAGCCCGUAUUGAAAUAGGUUACACUUUAGAACGGGGCACGCUCACAAAAGGACUUCUGAUGGAUAAUAUGCCUUCAUCGACCAGCAAUAAGCCACUAAUAAGAACCACUGUGGGUUUUGAGCUCCGGUGGACACUUUGCUCCGGAUGGUCUCCAGUUGUCAAAGUCCCCUCCUUAGAGGUGCAAUAUGUAGGAAUUUGCCACCUGUCAAGUCCAUAUCCCAACAGAGGGCAGCAUAGCACCAGGGUAACCGCUAACUGCAGCAAACUUUAGCUGCUGUUAGCUAGUGAGCUCUGAUAACCAUGUAGCUAGCUGUCGUAUUCGCUGACUCAGGCCCCACCAGGAGCUUUGAGUAAUGGAGGAGUGUUGGUGCUGUUUACUAUCGGACAAGUUGGGUAGGCACUAGCUGACUAGCAUGCUAACUUAAAUGGAUACAAAUUCCUAACUAAAAGAUAUUUUUAUUUGGUGGCUAAAACGUGUAGCUCAGGGCUACGUUAGCCACUGCUAGCAUAACACAACCAAAUCCCUGACAGAAUUUUGAAGGUUGAGUUGCAUAGUGGGUGCAUUCAAUGUUUUGGUGUCAAAAGUUGUGUAUUGUGUUGCAGAGAUAUUUAUUUGAGUUGGCAUGCUAACCAGCUAGCCUCAAACCAUCUUGUACCUCAGGAGCCGACAGUCUGAUUUUUAGCACAACACCAACACUCCCCUGAUGCUCCAAGCUCCCAGUCCAGGCAGAGUCUGCUAAUAUAAUACAAGUCCGACCGCGUUUUUCAGGGAAGCUGUAUCCAAAAGACAGAGCUCCGGAGCAACCGAGUGCCCUAAUUGCUUUAUUGGCUACGACAGCCUUGUUCUUGUUCUUUUAUCACCAACACACUCCAUCAGUCCUUUUCUCUGUCCUCCCACUAAACACUCGUCUCUCCUCUUCAACGUUUUGUCCCACGACAAUGGAGAAAAAGGGUCGACCUUACCUAGAAUCCAUUUAUCUUUUUCUCCAUCACGCAUACAUACGCAUGCCUAAUUUAUUCCGUCUUGUGCCCGGUUCUCCCUCAUCUUCCACUGUCUGACCCCGCACUAAAUGCCGGAGGUCACAUAUUUAUUUUGAAUAGUUUCUCUUCCAGCCUUGAUGGCACAAAAGAAAUAAAAUCGGACUUAUUUAUUGCCGUAUAAAACAUGGGAGUUUCUGGAAAAUGAAACCUUGGAGGAUGGAUGAUAUUGAAUUUUUCAACAUAGUGCUCAUUUCAAGCCCAUUGUCUCCCUCUCCCUUGGGACCUGGCCUGUUACAUGUUGCAUUUAAGCACACAGGUCAAUAAAGGUAAUUGAUAAGCUCUCAUAUGGAUAUAUAGUGAUGAAUGAAGGAUAUUUCUGUGGCAAUGAAUCAAACUUCCUCAGGAGCCAUAAAUGGAUGGUUGUAUCCUCCGCCUAAUGGGAAUAAGCAUAAACUCAUUCCCCAUAGUCAAUGCCAUACAGUGUCACAGACAGGCACCUAUAGGGCCGCGUUAUUGGUCCAUCACUUACACUUUAUGAGCACCUCAGAGCUGAGGCGGAGAUGGUGUAGCAUUGCUGGUGGCUUAGUGAUAGAUUAUUGGCAAGCCCAUCGAUCUGCCCGAGAAGGCGAUAGAAACAAAGCAUCCAUCUUCUUCAGCUUAAA